GUGCUCACUUCAGCAGCACAUAUACUAAAAUUGGAACAAUGCAGAGACUAGCAUGGCCCCUGCUCAAGGAUGACAUGUAAAUUCCUGAAGAGUUCCAGAUUUUU